rnacentral:rRNA from 1 species
CCUACGGGAGGCAGCAGUGAGGAAUAUUGGUCAAUGGGCGGAAGCCUGAACCAGCCAAGUAGCGUGCGGGAUGAAGGCCCUACGGGUCGUAAACCGCUUUUGCACGGGGAUAACACCCUCCACUUGUGGAGGUCUGCAGGUACCGUGUGAAUAAGGGCCGGCUAAUUCCGUGCCAGCAGCCGCGGUAAUACGGAAGGCCCGAGCGUUAUCCGGGUUCAUUGGGAUUAAAGGGAGCGCAGGCGGGCGGUAAAGUCAGCGGUAAAAGCCCGGGGCUCAACCGCGGCGAGCCGUGGAAACUGGCUGGCUGGAGAGGGCGAGAGGUAUGCGGAAUGCGCGGUGUAGCGGUGAAAUGCUUAGAUAUUGCGCAGAACUCCGAUUGCGAAGGCAGCAUACCGGCGGCGAACUGACGCUGAGGCACGAAAGCGUGGGUAUCGAACAGGAUUAGAUACCCUUGUAGUC